UACAGAGGUCCCAAGCGUUGUUCGGAUUCACUGGGCGUAAAGGGUGCGUAGGUGGUCGGGUAAGUCUGAUGUGAAAUCUCUGGGCUCAACCCAGAAAUGGCAUUGGAUACUAUUCGGCUGGAGGAGUGGAGGGGGGACUGGAAUACUUGGUGUAGCAGUGAAAUGCGUAGAUAUCGUAAGGAAGACCAGUGGCGAAGGCGGGUCUCUGGACAGUUCCUGACGCUGAGGCACGAAGGCCAGGGGAGCAAACGGG
rnacentral:rRNA from 1 species